GACGAACGCUGGCGGCGUGCUUAACACAUGCAAGUCGAACGGUGAAGCGCCUUCCUUUUUGGUGGGUGUGGAUGAGUGGCGAACGGGUGAGUAACACGUGAGUAACCUGCCCCCUUCUUCUGGAUAACCGCAUGAAAGUGUGGCUAAUACGGGAUAUUCUGGGUCUGUCGCAUGAUGGGUCUGGGAAAGAUAUUGUUUCGGUGGGGGAUGGGCUCGCGGCCUAUCAGCUUGUUGGUGGGGUGAUGGCCUACCAAGGCGGUGACGGGUAGCCGGCCUGAGAGGGGGGCGGGUAACAAGGGGAGAGAGACCCGGCCCGGCCCCCGGGGGGGGGAGGCGGGGGGGAAUAGGGCACAGGGGGGGAAGGCGUGUGGCGGCCGCGGCGGGGGGGGGGGGGCGGCCUUGGGUUUGUGAACCUUUUCGGCAGGGGAAGCGGGCCCGCCUGUUUUGGGGGUGGGUGGAGGGUGGGUGAAAAAGAGGCGCCGGCAACUUACGUC
rnacentral:rRNA from 1 species